rnacentral:rRNA from 1 species
GACGAACGCUGGCGGCGCGCCUAACACAUGCAAGUCGAACGAGCGAGAGAGAGCUUGCUUUCUCGAGCGAGUGGCGAACGGGUGAGUAACGCGUGAGGAACCUGCCUCAAAGAGGGGGACAACAGUUGGAAACGACUGCUAAUACCGCAUAAGCCCACGGCUCGGCAUCGAGCAGGGGGAAAAGGAGCAAUCCGCUUUGAGAUGGCCUCGCGUCCGAUUAGCUAGUUGGUGGGGUAACGGCCCACCAAGGCGACGAUCGGUAGCCGGACUGAGAGGUUGAACGGCCACAUUGGGACUGAGACACGGCCCAGACUCCUACGGGAGGCAGCAGUGGGGAAUAUUGCACAAUGGGGGAAACCCUGAUGCAGCGACGCCGCGUGGAGGAAGAAGGUCUUCGGAUUGUAAACUCCUGUUGUUGGGGAAGAUAAUGACGGUACCCAACGAGGAAGUGACGGCUAACUACGUG